rnacentral:rRNA from 1 species
GUGGGGAAUAUUGGACAAUGGGCGAAAGCCUGAUCCAGCCAUGCCGCGUGUGUGAAGAAGGUCUUCGGAUUGUAAAGCACUUUAAGUGGGGAGGAGGCUUACCUGGUUAAUACCUAGGCUAAGUGGACGUUACCCACAGAAUAAGCACCGACUAACUCUGUGCCAGCAGCCGCGGUAAUACAGAGGGUGCGAGCGUUAAUCGGAUUUACUGGGCGUAAAGCGCGCGUAGGUGGUUAAUUAAGUCAAAUGUGAAAUCCCCGAGCUUAACUUGGGAAUUGCAUUCGAUACUGGUUAGCUAGAGUAUGGGAGAGGAUGGUAGAAUUCCAGGUGUAGCGGUGAAAUGCGUAGAGAUCUGGAGGAAUACCGAUGGCGAAGGCAGCCAUCUGGCCUAAUACUGACACUGAGGUGCGAAAGCAUGGGGAGCAAACAGGAUUAGAAACCCGAGUAGUCC